rnacentral:lncRNA from 1 species
AAAAAAAGAAAAAUGAAAGAGAACUCAAAAUUAUUGUAUUCCAGUUUUCUUUCAUUAUCUUCUUCGCCUACCAUCACCACUGGUGAACAACUAUUUCACUGCCACUCCACCACCGUGAAAAAACCUACCUCAACCACUCCUAAUCACCACUAACCUCCUUCUCCAUUUUUUUCACCGUCGUGCAAACCCAUAACCACCUUCAGUUAAAACUUUAUCCGAUUCAUAAAUAACUCACCCGAAAUCACCUUAAAAUCUCCACUAUAAAACACAACCAAACGCUCGUUGUCACCACUUCCAUACUCCCUCCUGAGACAAGCUAAACGUGACUAAAACCACCUCUGUCCAUCACUUUAUCUCCACCAUAACACUACCACUUAAGCCUCUAUCUUCCUCAUUUUUGAUCAGCAAUAAUAACAACCUCACUGUGAAUUUGUUUUAGUGGGCAUGUUUCUUCCAACAAAAAUCCAUUCCUUUGACGACAACAUCCUUUUAUCUGGUAACAUUUCUAAUCAAAUUUUCUUGUGUUCAGUUUGUAGUUGAUUUUUGUUUUGUUUUGCAUUGUUUGUUUUGAUUUCGAUUGCAUGUGUGUGUUAUGUAUGUUGUUCGAUUCUUUACUGAAUUAUGGUUGGUAAUAACACUGUAAUAGUGCUCGUGUGGUGUAGUGUUAUUGAUGCUACUUUUUCAAUGCGUUAGAGUUUUGAAUUUGGAGUUUGUUUGCACCCUGAUAUGUGUUGAGCACAUUAGUUUGCCGGUUGUAAUUCUUUUGUAAUUUUUGUAUAUAAUAUUAUAUAAUGCGUAAGUGCUGCUACUGAUUCAAUUGGGUUGUGCUGUAUUGCAUAAAAUCGAAUAUUUAUUCGUAGUUUCGACAUUGAUAAUAUGUUGUUAUAACCGCCAAUUUCUAUUUUUGAUGUUAACUUAAUUUCUACAAGUUGUCUGUGUAUGUUACUUUCAUGGCAUGACAUUUUGUCCCGAUAAAAUUUUGCACUAUAUAUGUUGCUGUCCCGUUAAAAUUCUGCUACUGCAUACAUUGCUGUUCGGCAUAAAUUAUGUUGUUAUACACUACUAUUCUGCUACUGUAUACACUGUUGUUCUGCAUAAAAUAUGUUAUUGUACACUGUUAUUCUACUACUACAUACACUGCUGUUCUGCAUAAAAUGUGUUGUUAUACACUGUUGUUCUGCUACACAAAAUCCACUAUAGUUCUGCAUAAAAUGCGUUGUGAUACAUUAUUGUUCUGCUGCAUAAAAUACACUGCUAAUCUGCAUAAAAUACGCUGUUAUAUGUUGUUGUUUAGCUUAUUUAGUUGUGGUAAAUCAGACUGAAUCCGCGAGUGUGACAUCCUUCAUAUGUUGUGGCUUUGCUGAAUUUUUAGUUUGAUAUAUUGACGCCAUUGCAUUGUGCUAACGAUACAGUUUGUUGUUUAUAAAAAUCUUGUGUUGGCUGCGUGCGAUGUGUCAUCUUUGCUUCAUGUCGUGCGACUUAAUUUCUUGACGGUUCUCUUGUUGUCGUUUAGUUUUCGAUUUUGCCGUGAUAUAACCAUGACCUUCAUCCUGCUUGCAUCUCGUUGAAAGGGAAGACGUUACACUUUGUUUAUGAUUGUGUGGUAUAAUUUUUCUAUGUUGAACAUGCAUCUGAAUGCAAUAAGGUUGCAAUGUUGUGUUCAUGAAGAAAGGUCUGCUAUUGAUUUUGUUUUGUCAUUUUUAUUUUCCCAUUUAUUAUGGUGAUUAAAUGUUAUAUAUUUCUGAGUACACUAGAAUAAUAACUAAAUGGUCAUAGUGGAGUGGUUGAUACCUCAAUCUCCAACCACCAUGACCCAAGCUCGACCCAUGUGCGCCCCCUUUCCGCCCUUUUCCAUGUUUUUUUGUUCUUUUUUCCAUUUUUACAAGACAUUGAAUAUUAUAUAUUUAUGAAGGUGAUGGUUUAUCAGCAAUAUGACCACGGGGGAAUGGUUGAAACAUCAUGUCUCUUACCCCCAUGUCUUGGGUUCAAAUCCUUAUUGCCACUUUUCCUUGUAAUUUUUCCAUUUAUCUCAUUUUUUUCAUUCUUUUUCCACCUUGUUUUUUGUUUUCUUUUGCAUUUUUUUAACUAUCCAAAUUGAUUUUCUUUCUAAUUCUUGUGAGAUAGACUUCUUAUUUGUGACAUUAUAUUUGUAGCUUAAUUUUUUUCCACUUAUUUUAUCCUGAUUACAACCAUUGCAAAUGCCCCAUGUGAAUGUUUAAAAUAAUGCGAUACUUGUUGAAUUUUUGCCUUGUUCCUUUGAAUAUUUUCGUUGCUAAACAUUGGAUUUUAAUUCGUUGAUCCGAUAUUUACCAUGUUGUUAUUCCAUUGAUUAUUUUAUCGAUACAUUGAUGGUAUUUCGCCGCGUUUUGAUCCAUCGCAUACGAUAUUUCCAUUGUUGUCAAUAUGCGCAAACCGACUUUAAACACAUUACCUAGGGUUUUGCUUGCACCUCUCAAUUUCAUUUAUUCCUUGCAUGUCAUUGCAUUAUGUGACUUUGAUUCGCAACCUCGCAUCCCAAUUUUAAUAUAUGCACACUUCAAUUUCACUUUUUUCGAUUUAAUUAUUGAACGUGUUGUACAUAUAACUUGUGUGUUGCUAUUUUUUUCACAAGGCUUACUCUUAGGCCUUCUUACAAUGAGACCAUUCUCUUGCAUUUACACUAAUUUAUUAUUGUUUGUUGAUUGAGCUUUAUUUAAUUGUUUCAUUAUCUUGUAUCUCCAUGAGACAAAAUGAACCCAAUUCCCAUGACGUGUAAUAAUUUUUACCGCUUUUAUUUUUUUGUUUGGUGGUUUGCUUAGCUAGUUCUAACACAAGAAUAAAAUGAACCCCUUUUCAAAAAGAUAAAAAGAAAAUAAAAAACUCAAUCCAACAUCGAGUAUUUUGCCAAUAAAAAACCAAUCUAUUUCAAACUCAAUCCAUUUAUAUUCAUUCCAAAUAUUGCAAGCCAUUUCAUUCAAACUCUUUCUUAAUCAAUCAUCAAAUGUUAGAUCCAACGUCAAGCCAUUUUCACAAUAAAACUAAAAAACACUUAACAAUUAUUCAACACUUUUUCAAUAAGUGAGAUGAAAGGAACGGGGUAGUCAAUGAGCUCCUGAGAGUUAGAUCCGAGAUGUAGUUCUCGUAAAUCCAAACUUUCAUCAUCCUCAAAUCAAUUCCAUAACGCUUAAUAAACCUCGACUAGCUUCGAGUUUGCUUUCUCAAGGAAACUUCAAAAAUACCUAAAAAAUGAAAACUCUUUUGCAAAUAAAAUGAAAAAGGAGCGGGGUGUAGUCCAUGAAUUCCCGAGAGUUAGGAACAUAGAUGUAGUUCUCGUCACUCCGAACUCACUCAUCAUCCAAAAAUACUUCAAGCGAAUCAAACUAUUUUCUUGCCUCCGUGCGAUUAAUACUUAAACCUUUUUUCUCAAACAAAAGGUAUCUUUUCUCAAGACGAUGCAAAAAAAUGUUUCGUUCACUUGAACAUGUGAGUAAGCUUGUGACAUUGCCCACGAAUGUUGAUUUGUAAAUCCAUUCAGCCGUGAUGCAAACCUCCCCUUCUCCACUUGUUUUGGGUAGCACCCAACAAUGUUUUCAUCGAUUGACACGAAGUAGCUUUGCUAAA